rnacentral:rRNA from 1 species
GAAGCUUGCUUCCUAUGAAAUCGAGUGGCAAACGGGUGAGUAACGCGUAAACAACCUGCCCUUCGGAUGGGGAUAACAGCCGGAAAUGGCUGCUAAUACCGAAUACGAUCUUUUCGUCGCAUGACGGAAAGAAGAAAGGAUGGCCUCUAUACAAAGCUAUCGCCGAAGGAGGGGUUUGCGUCUGAUUAGCUGGUUGGAGGGGUAACGGCCCAACAAGGCGAUGAUCAGUAGCCGGUCUGAGAGGAUGAACGGCCACAUUGGGACUGAGACACGGCCCAGACUCCUACGGGAGGCAGUAGUGGGGAAUCUUCCGCAAUGGACGAAAGUCUGACGGAGCAACGCCGCGUGAGUGAAGAAGGUCUUCGGAUUGUAAAGCUCUGUUAUACGGGACGAAAAAGACGGAUGCCAACAGUAUCCGUCCGUGACGGUACCGUAAGAGAAAGCCACGGCUAACUACGUGCCAGCAGCCGCGGUAAUACGUAGGUGGCAAGCGUUGUCCGGAAUUAUUGGGCGUAAAGGGCGCGCAGGCGGUUCGGUAAGUCUGUCUUAAAAGUGCGGGGCUUAACCCCGUGAGGGGACGGAAACUGUCGAACUUGAGUGUCGGAGAGGAAAGCGGAAUUCCUAGUGUAGCGGUGAAAUGCGUAGAUAUUAGGAGGAACACCGGUGGCGAAAGCGGCUUUCUGGACGACAACUGACGCUGAGGCGCGAAAGCGUGGGGAGCAAACAGGA